AAUAUUGCACAAUGGGGGAAACCCUGAUGCAGCAACGCCGCGUAAAGGAAGACGGUCUUCGGAUUGUAAACUUUUGUUCUUGGUGAAGAAGCAAGUGACGGUAGCCAAGGAGGAAGCCACGGCUAACUACGUGCCAGCAGCCGCGGUAAUACGUAGGUGGCAAGCGUUGUCAGGAAUUACUGGGUGUAAAGGGAGCGCAGGCGGGAAAUCAAGUUGGAUGUGAAAUGUCGGGGCUUAACCCCGGAACUGCAUCCAAAACUGAUAUUCUUGAGUGAAGUAGAGGUAGGCGGAAUUCCGAGUGUAGCGGUGAAAUGCGUAGAUAUUCGGAGGAACACCAGUGGCGAAGGCGGCCUACUGGGCUUUAACUGACGCUGAGGCUCGAAAGUGUGGGGAGCAAA
rnacentral:rRNA from 1 species